rnacentral:rRNA from 1 species
UAUCCAAAGUGGCAAACCUUCGUGAAGCCGUUGAAAAAACCGGAAGGUAAGAAAAAUCUUGAUUUCCACAAUGCUCAGGCGGCGGCUAGAAAAGAUGUGGAGAGAGCAUUUGGGAUUUUGCAAGCCCAAUUUGCUAUUGUGAGAGGACCGGCAAGAUUUUGGGAUCAAAAAAUGCUUUGGUACAUCAUGCACGCUUGUGUGAUCAUGCACAACAUGAUCAUCGAGAAUGAGCGUGGCCAAGAUUUAGACUACUCACAGUAUGAGCUCUUGGGACAUCCCGUGCGAGUGCGGCGGAGGGCUGAAAGGGUAGCCCGUUUUGUUGCCUCCUAUCAUGCCAUUCGGCGUCCCGCAACGCACAAGGAACUUCAGAAUGAUCUAAUUGAAGAGUGG